CGGAGGAAAAGAAACUAACAAGGAUUCCCCUAGUAACUGCGAGUGAAGCGGGAAAAGCUCAAANUUAAAAUCUGGUAGUCUUUGGCUGCCCGAGUUGUAAUCUAGAGAAGUGUUAUCCGCACUGGACCGUGUACAAGUCUCCUGGAAUGGAGCGUCAUAGAGGGUGAGAAUCCCGUCUUUGACACGGACUACCAGGGCUUUGUGAUGCGCUCUCAAAGAGUCGAGUUGUUUGGGAAUGCAGCUCUAAAUGGGUGGUAAAUUCCAUCUAAAGCUAAAUAUUGGCGAGAGACCGAUAGUGAACAAGUACCGUGAGGGAAAGAUGAAAAGAACUUUGGAAAGAGAGUUAAACAGUACGUGAAAUUGUUGAAAGGGAAACGCUUGAAGUCAGUCGUGUUGGCCAGGGAUCAACCUUGCUUCUUGCUUGGUGUACUUUCUGGUUAAUGGGUCAGCAUCAAUUUUGACCAGUGGAAAAAGACUAGGGGAAUGUGGCAUCUUCGGAUGUGUUAUAGCCCUUGGUNUCAUACACUGGUUGGGAUUGAGGAACUCAGCACGCCGCAAGGCC
rnacentral:rRNA from 1 species